GCCCCUAUAGCUCAGUUGGUAGAGCAACUGAUUUGUAAUCAGUAGGUCCUGGGUUCGAGUCCUAGUGGGGGCACCA
rnacentral:tRNA from 1 species